AAAAAAAGAAGGAAAGAAAAAAGAGACAAGGGAAGUAGUUCUGCAAUAACUUCCAAAAUUCCAUUCUAACUCCCUUCAAUGCAUUCUCCAUGUAGCAUCCAAUGUGAUCUUUUCAAAAGCUUAAUUUACACUUCAGAUCAUGUAUACUUCUGCUUGCAGCCUUGUCAGUGGCUUUUGACUACAUCAAAAUCCAAACUCCUAAAUGUAGUGCCAUCACUUUAACUCCUACCUUUGUCUCUGACCUCCUUUAGUUACCCCUUUUCAUUCUCCCCCUGCCCACUGAAUGCAGCCCCUCCCCUGCCACCCCGACUGCCAUGUUUGAAGCAUGGCUUGUGUGGGAGGGAAUGAUGGAGAGACUCAGGGAUCAGAUCAUGGGUGGCCUUGACUCAGUUCUCAAGUAUGGCAGGAGUCCAUGAAGGAUCUUAAGCAGAGAGUUAGAUGGCCAGAUCUAUAUUUUCAAAAGAUUCCCUGGCAGCCUAUUGCAGGAUGACUGAGGCAGGGGGACCAGUCAGCAGGAUAUCAAGUCACUCAAGUGAGAAGUGGUUGGGAUUCAGCCAGGGCAGUGGCAGUAGGAGGGAAGUGCACAGAGUAGGCCAUAAAGGAGGUUGAAUCUGAAGGACCUGGCACCAGUUGAUUCUGGUGGUACCAAUGACACAUGCCCUAUAGAAGAUAAUACAUGUAAAUGUUCCCCAGUGAAGGAGCAGAUUAAUUAGCAAGUGCCUCGAAGAUAAGGAGAGGAGGUGACAAAUGCUGACUUUCAGCUGCCUCCUGUGAUCAAUACUUUUAUGCCACUUUGGAUCUUUACAGUUUUAGUGAGGGGAAGGUUUAAUUGCCAGUUCAGGAUUUUGAAGUAACCAGCCCCUGAAAAGUUAUUGUAUUUUAGGCUGAGCACGAUGACUUCUGCCUAUAGUCCAGCACUUUGGGACAUUGAGGCGGGAGGAUCACUAGAGCCCAGGAGUUUGAGACCAGCCUGGGCAAAAUAGCAAGACUCUGACUCUACAAAAACAUUAAAAAGUUAGCCAGUUGCAGUGGUACAUACCUGUGGUCCCAGCUCUUUGGGAGGCCAAGGUGGGCGGAUCACUUGAGGCUGGUCUCGAACUCCCGACCUCAGGUGAUCCACCCACCUCAGCUUCCCAAAGUGCUGGGAUUACAGGUGUGAACCACUG
rnacentral:lncRNA from 1 species